CCUACGGGUGGCAGCAGUGAGGAAUAUUGGUCAAUGGACGAGAGUCUGAACCAGCAAAGCAGCGUGAAGGAUGACUGCCUUAUGGGUUGUAAACUUCUUUUAUAUGGGAAUAAAAUGUUCCACGUGUGGGAUUUUGUAUGUACCAUAUGAUUCAGGAUCGGCUAACUCCGUGCCAGCAGCCGCGGUACUACGGAGGAUCCGAGCGUUAUCCGGAUUUAUUGGGUUUAAAGGGAGCGUAGGUGGAUUGUUAAGUCAGUUGUGAAAGUUUGCGGCUCAACCGUAAAAUUGCAGUUGAAACUGGCAGUCUUGAGUACAGUAGAGGUGGGUGGAAUUCGUGGUGUAGCGGUGAAAUGCGUAGAGAUCACGAAGAACACCGAUUGCGAAGGCAGUUCACUGGACUGCAACUGACACUGAGGCUCGAAAGUGUGGGUAGCAAACAGGAGUAGAUACCCCAGUAGUC
rnacentral:rRNA from 1 species